AAUUUUUUCACUUUGUCUAAAACUUACCAACCCUAAUUACUAACUCUCACUUUGACUCCAGCGCGCGCCUCCUUCUUCGCGUCGACCUUGUUCUCCAACCUGACCCGCCCCGAGCUCGUUCUCAGACCUGAGCGGCCUCGUUCUCCGACCACCACCAGCAGAGUGUGAGAUGGGAGCGGAGAAAGCAGAGGCGUCGUUGGAUUGGUUGAUCGCCGGGUUCAACAGUCAGAUCUCAGAGCUCCAAGAGCUCGUUAUUGCUCGAAAUAUGCUUAAGCUCAGAUAUCUGGUGGCUGGAGAAAACUGAAAAAGAAAUUAGGGAUCAUGUCUCGAUUUGUUUCAAGCUUUUCAGAAUGAGUCUACGGAUUAUAUAUGGUGGCAGGUAAAUGGGUCUAGACUUUGUUUAUAGCAUGAUUUUGAUGUUUUGGCAGGGAUUUGGGUAUUUGUUUCUGGUGGCUGCAGAAUAUUUGGUUCAGGGCGAUGGGCUACGUGGGGAAAGUGGAA